GCCUGGGUAGCUCAGCUGGUAGAGCGCGUCCUUGGUAAGGACGAGGUCACCGGUUCAAUCCCGGUCCCAGGCUCCA
rnacentral:tRNA from 2 species